rnacentral:rRNA from 1 species
AAUCAACGCUGGCGGCGCGCUUAACACAUGCAAGUCGAACGAGAAAGUCCCCUUCGGGGGGUGAGUAAAGUGGCGGACGGGUGAGUAACACGUGGGUUACCUGCCCUCAAGUGGGGAAUAACCCUGGGAAACUGGGGCUAAUACCGCAUACGAUCCCUCGGGAUGAAAGUCUUCGGACGCUUGAGGAGGGGCCCGCGGUCGAUUAGCUUGUUGGCGGGGUAAUGGCCCACCAAGGCAAAGAUCGAUAGCCGGCCUGAGAGGGCGCACGGCCACACUGGCACUGAGACACGGGCCAGACUCCUACGGGAGGCAGCAGUGAGGAAUCUUGGACAAUGGGGGAAACCCUGAUCCAGCGACGCCGCGUGAGUGAUGAAGCCUUUCGGGGUGUAAAGCUCUUUCAGCGGGGAAAAUAAUGAUGGUACCCGCAUAAGCAGCUGCGGCUAACUACGUGCCAGCAGCCGCGGUAAUACGUAGGCAGCAAGCGUUGUUCGGAAUUACUGGGCGUAAAGCGAGUGUAGGCGGUCUUCCAAAUAAGUUGUGAAAUCUCCUGGCUCAACCGGGAGGGUGCGGCGGAAACUGGCAGGC